rnacentral:miRNA from 1 species
AGAAGAAGAGGAAGAGCUCCU